rnacentral:rRNA from 1 species
CAGUAGCGCGGUAAUACGUAGGGCGCAAGCGUUGUCCGGAAUUAUUGGGCGUAAAGAGCUCGUAGGCGGUCUGUCGCGUCUGGUGUGAAAUCCCGAGGCUCAACCUCGGGCUUGCAUCGGGUACGGGCAGACUAGAGUGCGGUAGGGGAGACUGGAAUUCCUGGUGUAGCGGUGGAAUGCGCAGAUAUCAGGAGGAACACCGAUGGCGAAGGCAGGUCUCUGGGCCGCAACUGACGCUGAGGAGCGAAAGCAUGGGGAGCGAACAGGAUUAGAUACCCCCGUAGUCCCUGUCUCUUAUACA